UCGGGAAUUUUGGGCAAUGGGCGAAAGCCUGACCCAGCAACGCCGCGUGAAGGAUGAAGUAUUUCGGUAUGUAAACUUCGAAAGAAUAGGAAGAAUAAAUGACGGUACUAUUUAUAAGGUCCGGCUAACUACGUGCCAGCAGCCGCGGUAAUACGUAGGGACCAAGCGUUGUUCGGAUUUACUGGGCGUAAAGGGCGCGUAGGCGGUGUGUCAAGUCAGUUGUGAAAUCUCCGAGCUUAACUCGGAACGGUCAACUGAUACUGUCACACUAGAGUACAGAAGGGGCAAUCGGAAUUCUUGGUGUAGCGGUGAAAUGCGUAGAUAUCAAGAGGAACACCUGAGGCGAAGGCGGGUUGCUGGGCUGAUACUGACGCUGAGGCGCGAAAGCUAGGGUAGCAAACGGGAUUAGAUACCCGGGUAGUCCCUGAGCGGGCUGGCAAGGCGCAU
rnacentral:rRNA from 1 species